rnacentral:rRNA from 1 species
GAUGAACGCUGGCGGCGUGCCUAAUACAUGCAAGUCGAACGGUAAGGCUUUCACAGAUUAUUUGAACGGAACAGUUUGGUCUCCAAAUACUAUCCUUCAACAUUGUUACUAGGCUAGUAACAAUGGUCGAAUAAUGCGUGAAAGUACACGAGUGGCGGACGGCUGAGUAACGCGUGGGAACGUGCCCCAAAGUGAGGGAUAAGCACCGGAAACGGUGUCUAAUACCGCAUAUGCUCUUCGGAGUAAAGCUUUAUGCGCUUUGGGAGCGGCCCGCGUCCUAUUAGAUAGUUGGUGAGGUAAAGGCUCACCAAGUCAACGAUGGGUAGCUGGUCUGAGAGGAUGACCAGCCAGACUGGAACUGAGACACGGUCCAGACUCCUACGGGAGGCAGCAGUAAGGAAUCUUCCACAAUGGGCGAAAGCCUGAUGGAGCAACGCCGCGUGCAAGAUGAAGGCUUUCGGGUCGUAAACUGCUUUUAUUGGUGAAGAAUAUGACGGUAACCAAUGAAUAAGGGUCGGCUAACUACGUGCCAGCAGCCGCGGUCAUACGUAGGACCCAAGCGUUAUCCGGAGUGACUGGGCGUAAAGAGUUGCGUAGGUGGUGUGUAAAGUGAAUAGUGAAAUCUGGUGGCUCAACCAUACAGGCUAUUAUUCAAACUCACACACUCGAGAACAGCAGAGGUAACUGGAAUUUCUGAAGUAGGGGUAAUACCCGUAGAUAUCAGAAGGAACACCAAUGGCGUAGGCAGGUUACUGGGCUGUUUCUGACACUGAGGCACGAAAGCGUGGGGAGCGAACCGGAUUAGAUACCCGGGUAGUCCACGCCGUAAACGAUGGAUACUAGCUGUUGGAGGUAUCGACCCCUUCAGUAGCGAAGCUAACGCGUUAAGUAUCCCGCCUGUGGAGUACGGUCGCAAGACUAAUACAUAAAGGAAUUGACGGGGAGCCGCACAAGCGGUGGAUUAUGUUCUUUAAUUCGAUGCUAACCGAAGAACCUUACCAGGGUUUGACAUCCUUGGAAUCUCUUCGAAAGAAGAGAGUGCUUUAUUGAACCAAGUGACAGAUGUUGCAUGGCCGUCGUCAGCUCGUGUCGUGAGAUGUUUGGUUAAGUCCAUCAACGAGCGCAACCCUUGCAAGUAGUUGUAUUUUUCUACUUGGACUGCCCCGGUAACGGGGAGGAAGGAGGGGAUGAUGUCAGGUCAGUAUUACUCUUACAUCCUGGGCUAGAAACGUAAUACAAUGGCCAGUACAAUGCGAAGCGAAGCCGCGAGGUGAAGCAAAUCGCACCAAAGCUGGUCCCAGUUCGGAUAAGAGGCUGAAACUCGCCUCUUUGAAGUUGGAAUCGCUAGUAAUCGCAGAUCAGCAAGCUGCGGUGAAUACGUUCCCGGCUCU